rnacentral:rRNA from 1 species
CCUACGGGAGGCAGCAGUAGGGAAUCUUCCACAAUGGGCGCAAGCCUGAUGGAGCAACACCGCGUGAGUGAAGAAGGGUUUCGGCUCGUAAAGCUCUGUUGUUGGAGAAGAACGUGCGUGAGAGUAUCUGUUCACGCAGUGACGGUAUCCAACCAGAAAGUCACGGUUAAUUACGUGCCAGCAGCCGCGGUAAUACGUAGGUGGCAUGCGUUAUCCGGUUUUAUUGGGCGUAAAGCGAGCGCAGGCGGUUGCUUAGGUCUGAUGUGAAAGCCUUCGGCUUAACCGAAGAAGUGCAUCGGAAACCGGGCAACUUGAGUGCAGAAGAGGACAGUGGAACUCCAGGUGUAGCGGUGGAAUGCGUAGAUAUAUGGAAGAACACCAGUGGCGAAGGCGGCUGGCUGGUCUGCAACUGACGCUGAGGCUCGAAAGUAUGGGUAGCGAACAGGAUUAGAUACCCUUGUAGUC